rnacentral:rRNA from 1 species
GAAUGGGGAAACCCAGUGUGAUUCGUCACACUAUCAUUAACUGAAUCCAUAGGUUAAUGAGGCGAACCGGGGGAACUGAAACAUCUAAGUACCCCGAGGAAAAGAAAUCAACCGAGAUUCCCCCAGUAGCGGCGAGCGAACGGGGAGGAGCCCAGAGCCUGAAUCAGCAUGUGUGUUAGUGGAAGCGUCUGGAAAGGCGCGCGAUACAGGGUGACAGCCCCGUACACAAAAGCGCAUGUGCUGUGAGCUCGAUGAGUAGGGCGGGACACGUGGUAUCCUGUCUGAAUAUGGGGGGACCAUCCUCCAAGGCUAAAUACUCCUGACUGACCGAUAGUGAACCAGUACCGUGAGGGAAAGGCGAAAAGAACCCCGGCGAGGGGAGUGAAAAAGAACCUGAAACCG